GAAAAAAAAGCAAAGUUUUUUCGCAUUGUCAUUAUGGGGUAUUGUGUGUAGAAUUUUGAGGAAACAAGACAAAAGAACUAAAGUUGAAUGGAAAACAGAGGCAACAGAUGAAUGGAGCAGGAGGUACAGGUGCUGUUGGUUUUCUUCUUGAUGGACAAGAUCCUGCAAGGAUUCGAGUGCUUGAGGAGGAAUGUAGAAAAAAAAAAUCUACAUUUUGCAUGAGCCCGGUUUGUCUUAAGCGCAAUGGAGACACAACGGCUGAGAACGCCAAUUACAGGGCAGUUAUUUUAAAUGUUUGUGAUAUCAGGGAAGCAGGUUGAGUUCCAGCUGUGGAAACUGACAGAAAACAUGUACAAAUUGACAGCGAAAAAAAUAUGGAACCUUGCUAUAGUCAAAGGUCAAACUGCAGAUAUCAACACUCAUCAGGGGCUCAGUGAGAAGUUCCACGGGUGAUGGAGCCUAUAGCCAUAUGUUGUAGGGCUUAAAGUUAGUAGAUGUGAUGUGCUUCACUGAAUACCAAAAAUACAGGCGGCAUAGCGCUGCCAAGUCAAGGACAGGUUCACCAUCACUGUGUACGGCAUGGAAUUUCAGGCAUCAGGGCCAGACUGUUGGUGGUUUAGUGUUACGGACUGUCAAUAACUCAGCUACUGCUCGCCACCCACAUUUUCUUUCUACCGAUUUCCACAGUUCAUUGUUUACCACUAGGCACACCUGAAUUAUGGCUCCACGGAGUUGUACCCAUUUUAGAUGAAGGAUCUCAGCACUCAGAGACAGUCAAGCAUGAGGACAGGACAGACAGUCCGUCCGUCGGCACCAGAAGGUGAACUUUUUGAGUCGUACUGGGAGAUUCCCCGAAGAUGAGCAGCAGUCAGGCAUGUCAGGGGACAACCGACACAGGGACCUUUUUAGAACAUUCAUUUGGCUCAGAGUCUUGGGUUUCAACAACAUAAAGCUCACGUCAACACCUCUACUGUUUCAUACAGCCAUGGCACCUUUGUUGAGGAGAUUUGAUGAUCAAAUCCCCAUAAUCCCGUCUGGUUUCUCUCCCAGUUUACCACUUACAUCAUCCAGCUUCAUAUCUUGUAUUUGCCAGUUAACCAUUAACCCCCUGUAAAAAAAAAAAAAAAAAAAAAAAAAAAAAAUAGACAAGGACAGAUAAGAUUAACACUAAAAAAUAGUUUUAUCACCUUAGAU